AAAAUAAUAAAAUAAAAUAAAAAAGGAAACGUGAAAAAUAAGUAAAAGCAUGUGCAGAUAGAGGGAAAAGGUAAGAAAUCAAAUACAUUAAACAUUUAUAAUUAAUAAGAACUCUAGCCGUUCACAUAUCCAUAUUGCAUCAGAAUAAUACACAACAAGAACUCAUAGAAACCUGAAGGGGAAUUUUAUGAGCAUUUAAAAAACUGAUAAAGAAAUGAAUUUCAUAGUGAAUCUUACUCAAUUUGAUACCCAAAGUAUCAUUCA
rnacentral:misc_RNA from 1 species